UAGGGAGCGAGCGUUGUCCGGAAUUACUGGGUGUAAAGGGAGCGUAGGCGGUACGGAAAGUCAGCGGUAAAAUUACGGAGCUCAACUCCGCCGAGCCGUUGAAACUUCCGCACUAGAGUGAGCGAGAAGUAAGCGGAAUGCGUGGUGUAGCGGUGAAAUGCAUAGAUAUCACGCAGAACGCCGAUUGCGAAGGCAGCUUACCGGCGCUCAACUGACGCUCAGGCACGAAAGUGCGGGUAUCGAA
rnacentral:rRNA from 1 species